GAGGAUUUUUCUCAAUGGGGGCAACCCUGAAGGAGCGACGCCGCGUGGAGGAUGAAGGGCUUCGGCUCGUAAACUCCUGUCACCGACGAACAAGGCAUUCGGAUUAAUAAAUCGGAUGCUUGAUGGUAGUCGGAGAGGAAGGGGCGGCUAACUCUGUGCCAGCAGCCGCGGUGAUACAGAGGCCCCAAGCGUUGUUCGGAUUUACUGGGCGUAAAGGGUGUGUAGGGGGUUGGGUAAGUUUGACGUGAAAUCCCGUUGCUCAACAACGGAACUGCGUCGAAUACUGCUCAGCUGGAGGUUCGGAGAUGAGGGCGGAAUUCUCGGUGUAGCGGUGAAAUGCGUAGAUAUCGAGAGGAACGCCGAUGGCGAAAGCAGCCCUCAAGACGAAAUCUGACCCUGAAACACGAAGGCCAGGGGAGCAAA
rnacentral:rRNA from 1 species